rnacentral:rRNA from 1 species
GGACGAACGCUGGCGGCAUGCCUAAUACAUGCAAGUCGAGCGGAACUUCAGGAGCUUGCUCCUGAAGUUCAGCGGCGGACGGGUGAGUAACACGUGGGCAACCUACCUUACAGAUGGGGAUAACUCCGGGAAACCGGGGCUAAUACCGAAUAACCCAUUUCUUCGCAUGAAGAGAUGUUGAAAGACGGUUUCGGCUGUCACUGUGAGAUGGGCCCGCGGCGCAUUAGUUAGUUGGUGGGGUAACGGCCUACCAAGACCACGAUGCGUAGCCGACCUGAGAGGGUGAUCGGCCACACUGGGACUGAGACACGGCCCAGACUCCUACGGGAGGCAGCAGUAGGGAAUCUUCCACAAUGGACGAAAGUCUGAUGGAGCAAUGCCGCGUGAGUGAAGAAGGUUCUCGGAUCGUAAAGCUCUGUUGUAAGGGAAGAACAAGUACAGGAGUAACUGUCUGUACCUUGACGGUACCUUACCAGAAAGCCACGGCUAACUAC